GGCCGCUUGGCCCAAUGGUUAAGGCGUCUGACUACGACCGAGCGCGGCGUCUGCGGAAAAACGUGCUUGAACGCGGGUAAUCAGGAGAUUCUGGGUUCGACUCCCAGGGUGGCCU